rnacentral:rRNA from 1 species
AUGCAUGUCUAAGUAUAAGCAAUUAUACGGCGAAACUGCGAAUGGCUCAUUAUAUAAGUUAUCGUUUAUUUGAUAAUACUUUACUACUUGGAUAACCGUGGUAAUUCUAGAGCUAAUACAUGCUGAAAACCCCGACUUCGGAAGGGAUGUAUUUAUUAGAUUAAAAACCAAUGCCCUCUGGGCUCCUUGGUGAUUCAUGAUAACUUGGCGAAUCGUCAGGCCUUGUGCCGGCGAUGGCUCAUUCAAAUUUCUUCCCUAUCAACUUUCGAUGUUUGGGUCUUGGCCAAACAUGGUGGCAACGGGUAACGGAGGGUUAGGGCUCGACCCCGGAGAAGGAGCCUGAGAAACGGCUACUACAUCCAAGGAAGGCAGCAGGCGCGCAAAUUACCCAAUCCCGACACGGGGAGGUAGUGACAAUAAAUACUGAUACAGGGCUCUUUUGGGUCUUGUAAUCGGAAUGAGUACAAUUUAAAUCUCUUAACGAGGAACAAUUGGAGGGCAAGUCUGGUGCCAGCAGCCGCGGUAAUUCCAGCUCCAAUAGCGUAUAUUAAAGUUGUUGUGGUUAAAAAGCUCGUAGUUGAACUUUGGGCCUGGCUGGCCGGUCCGCCUCACCGCGUGUACUGGUCCGGCCGGGCCUUUCCCUCUGUGGAACCCCAUGCCCUUCACUGGGCGUGGCGGGGAAACAGGACUUUUACUUUGAAAAAAUUAGAGUGCUCAAGGCAGGCCUAUGCUCGAAUACAUUAGCAUGGAAUAAUAAAAUAGGACGUGUGGUUCUAUUUUGUUGGUUUCUAGGACCGCCGUAAUGAUCAAUAGGGACAGUCGGGGGCAUCAGUAUUCAAUAGUCAGAGGUGAAAUUCUUGGAUCUAUUGAAGACUAACUACUGCGAAAGCAUUUGCCAAGGAUGUUUUCAUUAAUCAGGAACGAAAGUUAGGGGAUCGAAGACGAUCAGAUACCGUCGUAGUCUUAACCAUAAACUAUG